ensembl:lncRNA
GUGCAGACACCUGGUCUGGGAACCGCUGUGAGAAUCAUUUUCCCCUGUCAUCUACCUUCUAUGGGUCACAGGUGGCUCCUUGAGGAGUCAAGUCCCUGGCACUCUAAUGGUUUUACCUGGUUCCUUCAGCAGCUUCUGGGGGCACCAGGCCCCAGGCCCUCUGGAGGAAGGUCUCAAUCCUAUGAAGGCCUCAACCUCUGAAGCUGCAGGGAACCAAGAAAGUAGGGUAAUCGGGACAGCCAUCUCUGAUCCUCAGGGUCGAAGUGGCUCAGGGCCUAGGAGACAGCCGAGAUGCAAAAUCUCAGAUGGCCUAAGAUGUGUCCAAGCAGGAAGAUAAGGGAAGGAACAGUGAGGAGGGCGACAGCUGGGGUGUCUGCCACCCAGGUCAGGACAGAGCUGCUAGGAAGCAUUGAUGGGCUGCAGCCAUUGAGGAAGGAGGUCAGACAGAGACGUGCAGCCUAGCAGGCAGAGCAUUGGGUAGGCUAGAUGGAAUUGAUCCUUUUGAAGUCCUGAAGGGGACUCUGUGGCCCCAUGAGCAGCCCAGCCUCAUGAAGUAUUCUGGCCUGUCCUUGAACAGGCAGUUAGCAUCAUCACUUGCAGGGGCAGGCAGGGAACUGUUUCAUUAGCAACAGGAUUUGGGUGCUCAGUUUACCUUCCCCCAACCCCAGUCCUCCUCACUAUUAACUGCCUCCGCCCCUCGCCCGGCCUGAUCAUCACUUUGCCAACUCUUCCCAAACUCCAGCCGCCCCCUCAGCUGUCUCUGGAGGGUGAGAGGGUGCUCAGUGCCACAGCACUCCUCCUCCGGGAGGGGGUGUCCUUUUCUUAUGUGUGGGCUGGGUGUGUUGGGCUGUGCUCCAACUCAAGGGCAGGCUCCUCCCUCCAGAGGUGGUCAUCCCCGCCAGAAGUGCAGUCACACAUUUGUCUCCUGGGAGGCGGUGGGCGAGGGAAGCAGAACACAGCAUGUGAGCAUGGGGAGGGGUGUCUGCAGAUCUGGGAUCGGGUGAUGGGCCCUGAGAGCAGGGAGCUGACACUGCUGACUGUCUGGAGAGGCAGCAGGAGGCUGAUUAUAGGGCUGGGUCUCUCGGCCCUGGAUGUGGGUGCAAGAGCCUGUGGACACACUUAACUGUCAAGGUGGGGGUGAUGGUUACCCUGGUGACUGGGCUAGGAAGUGGG